UACGAGGGUGCAAGCGUUAUCCGGAUUUACUGGGUUUAAAGGGUGCGCAGGCGGAUAUGUAAGUCAGUGGUGAAAUCUCUAGGCUUAACCUGGAAAUUGCCGUUGAUACUAUAUAUCUUGAAUGCUGUGGAGGUAAGCGGAAUAUGUCAUGUAGCGGUGAAAUGCUUAGAUAUGACAUAGAACACCUAUUGCGAAGGCAGCUUACUACGCAGAUAUUGACGCUCAUGCACGAAAGCGUGGGGAUCAAACAGG
rnacentral:rRNA from 1 species